AUGAAAAACGCUACCUACUCUAUCGUGUCCUGGAACGUUCGCGGUCUAGGAGAUAAUGAUAAGUGCUCUAAUGUGUUCUCUGAAAUCAAUGUCCUACGCCUAUCCAUUGCCCUUCUUCAAGAAACCAAAUUACAAAAACCAGACACAAUCAAACUAUGAUCGAUCUUGCCGCGCUUCCUAGACUCUAAUAACCACCUCGACGCAAUCGGAACGGCGGGCGGCAUUCUCUUGGCUUCUAACUCACGUUGCUUCUCGCUUCUCAACUGCCAACACAGGCGUUUCACAUCCACAUUAAUGCUAUCAUGUCUUGCAUCGCCACAUAAUAUCUUCAUCACUAAUGUCUACGCCCCCUCGCAACGAGAGCUAAAACUAGUCUUCCUUGACGAACUGAAACAGAUCGAACCACCACCUCAAUCUCCUUGGCUCCUAAUAGGUGAUUUCAACCUGACUCGAUUCCCCAAUGAACGCAACAACGACAACUUUAGACGAUCGGAGGCUGAUGCCUUUAACGACACCAUCGACCAACUUGCUCUCUUAGAGCUCCCGCUCCUUGAUAGAGAAUUUACCUGGUCAAACAAAAGACUAUCCCCCACGCUGAUUCGCCUAGAUAGGGUACUGAUCAAUCUAUCUUGGGAUGCUCUUUUCCCUAACUCACACCUCACCUCCCUCACUCGAUUUGUCUCUGAUCAUGUUUCACUCCUCGUCACCGUAUCCACAUCCGUCCCAUCUUUCCUCCUUUUUCGAUUUGAACAAUUUUGGACCUCCUUCCCAGCCUGUUCUAACAUUGUGGGCGGCUGCUGGCAGCCCGGCCCACAGCGCCACGGUGGGCGUUUCAUUGAUCCGGCGGCUUCGCUCGCUCAAAAAAUUAAGGUACAAGAUCGGCCCUAA
rnacentral:rRNA from 1 species